rnacentral:rRNA from 1 species
GAUGAACGCUGGCGGCGUGCCUAAUACAUGCAAGUCGAGCGAACAGACGAGGAGCUUGCUCCUCUGACGUUAGCGGCGGACGGGUGAGUAACACGUGGAUAACCUACCUAUAAGACUGGGAUAACUUCGGGAAACCGGAGCUAAUACCGGAUAAUAUAUUGAACCGCAUGGUUCAAUAGUGAAAGACGGUUUUGCUGUCACUUAUAGAUGGAUCCGCGCCGCAUUAGCUAGUUGGUAAGGUAACGGCUUACCAAGGCGACGAUGCGUAGCCGACCUGAGAGGGUGAUCGGCCACACUGGAACUGAGACACGGUCCAGACUCCUACGGGAGGCAGCAGUAGGGAAUCUUCCGCAAAGGGCGAAAGCCUGACGGAGCAACGCCGCGUGAGUGAUGAAGGUCUUCGGAUCGUAAAACUCUGUUAUUAGGGAAGAACAAAUGUGUAAGUAACUAUGCACUUCUUGACGGUACCUAAUCAGAAAGCCACGGCUAACUACGUG